AGUUCCGUGUUCUAGUGGUAUGAUUUCUCCUUCACACGGAGAAGGUCCCGGGUUCGAUCCCCGGCGGGACUA
rfam:Schizosaccharomyces japonicus yFS275 unplaced genomic scaffold supercont5.4, whole genome shotgun sequence.